rnacentral:pre_miRNA from 1 species
AAAGUACUCCCUCCGUCCCAAAAUUCUUGUCUUAGAUUUGUCUAGAUACGGAUGUAUCAAGUCACAUUUUAGUAUUAGAUACAUCCGUAUCUAGACAAAUCUAAGACAAGAAAUUUGGGACNAUUAGAUACAUCCGUAUCUAGACAAAUCUAAGACAAGAAAUUUGGGACAGAGGGAGUAGUUG